rnacentral:rRNA from 1 species
UACGUAGGGGGCUAGCGUUGUCCGGAUUUAUUGGGCGUAAAGAGCGUGUAGGCGGCCGGGUAGGUCUGCUGUGAAAACUCGAGGCUCAACCUCGAGACGUCGGCGGAAACCAUCUGGCUAGAGUCCGGAAGAGGAGAGUGGAAUUCCUGGUGUAGCGGUGAAAUGCGCAGAUAUCAGGAAGAACACCGAUGGCGAAGGCAGCUCUCUGGGACGGUACUGACGCUGAGACGCGAAAGCGUGGGGAGCGAACAGG